rnacentral:lncRNA from 1 species
AUCACACACAGGCCUAUGUAAAAUCAGUGUUGAAAUUGUGCUUUUCAGGUCUCAUUGCUUGGUUUUCCAUUACUGCGCUGAGACCUGUUAAAACCUUCCAUUUUGAUGGUGGAUUUGUUAAUUUUCCUUGUGAUUGCCACUUUUUGCUUUAUUACACACACACACACACACACACACACACACAAACACACAUAUACUUAUACACACAUACACAUACACACAUAUAUUGCCCAGGCUGGUCUCAAACUCCUGGGCUCAAGCAAUCCUCCCACCUUUGCCUCCCAAAGCACUGGGAUUACAGGCAUGAGCCAUUGUGCCCAGCCAACAUACAUACUUAACUAUAAAUUUUUUAGCAAGUCUAAAGUUAUUAUCUCUGUUAUCCUCCAAAACAAGCAAGGACCUUUGCAUACCAGAACUGUACACUGAGCAUUCUCUCUUGUCUUCCUUAUUGUUAUAACUGAGAAUUUUUCCCACCUUAAUACAAAAAAGUAUCAUUAAUAUUUACAGUAGGGCUGGGUGUGGUGGCUCACGUCUGUAAUCUCAGCACUUUGGGAGGCUAAGAUGGGUGGAUCACCUGAGGUCAGGAGUUCGAGACCAGCCUGGCCAACAUGGUAAAAGCCUGUCUCUACCACAAAUCCAAAAAGUAGCUAGGUGUGGUGCUGUGCACCUGUGAUCCCAGCUACUUGGAAAGCUGAGGCAGGAGAAUUACUUGAACUCGGGAGGCGGAGAUUGCAGUGAGCCAAGAUCACACCACUGCACUCCAGCCUGGGUGACAGAGUGAAACUCCGUCCCAAAAAAACCCAUAUUUACAGUAGAUAGUUAAUUAAAUUUACUUAUAAAUUAUACCAAUGUUCAUGUAUUUUAAAUCUCACUCCUUCUCUGUGAGUUCAUUUUUCUUCUUGCCAAAAUGUAUCCUUUAAAAUUCAAUUUCAGGGCAAGCCCUCUUAGUUUUGGAUGUCUGAAAAUGUCUUUAUUUUGCCCUCAUUCCUGAAUAAUUGAGUAGGAUGACCUUUACUUUCCCGUAGCACUUUAUAAAAAUAUUAUAUUACUACAUUGUUUCCUGGGCAUCUCUUGAUGCCAGAAUGUUUACAGCUGUUCUAACUGUUGGUAAGUCUCUUUUCUUCCUGUAAACUUUGAGGUUUUUCUCUUUGUUUUGAUAUUCUGGAGUUUUACCAAGAUUACGAAUUUAUUUUUACUGUUUAGCAGUUUGUGUACAUUUUUCUGGAACAUUCUCAGCCAUUAUCCUCUCAGUUUAUUACUUUUUCUACCAGAACCCUGUUCUCUUCUUUUAGGACUCCAUAUUAGAUGAAUGGGGUGCUUUUUAACAAUUGCGUCAGAUUCCAGAGUGUGGAUUUAUUCAUUUAAACAUUUAUUAUUUUUAAUAGUUUGUUUGACUAUUCUUCUUCUAAUGGAAAUUUAUACUUUUCUACUAAAAACAAUGCUAUAGCCAAUGAUUUUAUUUCUCUCUUUUUGCUAGAUUCUAUUUUUAUUGUUUCAUGGUUAGGUAAUGACUUUUUUUUUUUUUUUUUUUUUUUGAGAUGGCGUCUUGCUCCUGUUGCCCAGGCUGGAGUGCAGUGGCACAAUCUCGGCUCACUGUAGCCUCCGCCUCCCGGGUUCAAGCGAUUCUCCUGCCUCAGCCUCCCGAGUAGCUGGGAUUACAGGCAAGCGCCACCACACCCGGCUAAUUUUGUAUUUUUGGUAGAGAUGGGGUUUCACCAUGUUGGCCAGGCUGAUUUCGAACUCCUAACCUCAGGUGAUCCACCUUCCUUAGCCUCCCAAAGUGCUGGGAUUACAGGUGUGAGCCACCCCAACCAGCCAGGUAAUGACUUCUAUUGAGAUUUUUUUCCUGUAGUCCAAUAUAAGCCCAUUUUGCUAAAUAAUCUGUAAGUAAACUAUAUUCUGUUUGCUGAGCACAAAAAUGUGAGAGGGAGUGCCAGAUUUUGUCUGUUGAAUCCUUAAUAAUCUCAAUUUUGUUUGCACAAUUUGUUCAUUUAAAAAGUGUUCAGGCCAGGCACAGUGGCUCACACCUGUAAUCCCUUUGGGAGGCCGAGGUGGGAGGCCUGCUUGAGCCCAGGAGUUGGAGAGAUCUUGUCUCUACAAAAAAAUUAAAAAAAUAACCAGGAAAGGUGGCUUGUGCCUGAAAUCCCAGCUACUCAAGAGGCUGAGGUGGGAGGAUCACCUGAGCCCAGGGAGGUGGAGGCUGCAGUGAGCUGUGAUCGCACCCCUGCACUCCAGCCUGGGUGACAGAGCAAGACCCUGUUUAAAAAAAAAAUAAAAAUAAAGAGUGUUAAAAACUUUAUGUGUCGAGAUUUAUCAAGUCCCCUUCUUUUGCCCUAAUCAUUUGUUUUGUAGACUUGGAAGCUAUGUUGUGAGACGUACAGGUUUCUGUUCAUGGCAGUCACUCCACGGGGCUGAUCCCUGGAAUCCUCCUGAAGCUUUUGGGGACCUCACAACUGGGCCCUGGGCUCCACCAGGCUUCCUGGCCCCUGAGGGGCUGCCCAGCCUUCCUCACAGGCUGUCUGUGGUGGCCUGCAGGGCUCCUUGCUGUGUCUGACCAGCCUUCCUCUGUGGAUACGGGCCCCACCCCUCACCCCAUUUUUA